GAGAGAGAGAUGGGGUGAAGGGUUGGGGAUGAGCUUCUUUAUUUUAUGAUCUUUUGCAAGAAAGGGAAUGGGAUUCUAUCCUCUCUCGCCAAGUUUUUUAUUUUUUUUUCCGAAAAGGGAAUGAGAUUCUAUGCUUUCUCGCGAAGGUUUUUUUUUUUUUUUUUUGGCAUACAGAAUAAUUAUAGCCCUCGAUUACAAUUAUUCUUUUUCUUUUUCUUUUACCAUCUUUAAACCCUAAAGUCUCACGUUAUUCGUGUCUCCUUACAUUUUUUAUCUCUCUCUCUAUUCUGUACUUCUUUGUGAUCACUUGUUCUGUUUCCUUCAAACCCUUCAAUGUCUAUCCAAACCCACUCAUUGUUUACUUUCUUUUCUUUCGGAAUUUGAAUGGAUUUAGCACUGUUUGAUUGGAAUUUAAAUGAAGUUAGUAUUGUUUAAUAAUUGUUGUGGUUUUUUGAGACAGAUUAUUGAUUCUUGUUCAUUUGCAGACAGGACAGGUCAAUGUUUCUAGUUAUUUUUCAUAUUUUUUAUCUCUUUUCUAAUGUUCUGCUUUGGUAUCUGAUAUUGGUAUUUUUAUCAAGGAGAAGCUAAUCAAGUUUAUAUUUUGUGAAGGACCUGAUUUGAUGUUUAUGUUCAAGUUUUGUACUCAUUGUGGAGGUUGUAUGUCAACUGGUUUGGGUCUGAUUUUGAGUCAAGAAUCUGCUUAUCUUGGAAGAGAAUCUCUACACAGGAUCCAUUGGGUGUUGGUUCAUACCAUGAGCAAUGAUGCAUUCAUGAGGUGUAAUGCCUUUCAGUCUGCACAUUGUCCACCCAUCCGCAGUCAGUUCCAUUGGCUGGCCUGCAAAAGAGCAUGCAUAUCUAUAUCUGGUUAACUUGAUAAAAUGCCGUAGGUAGUUUAUGGUACCAUCAUAACCAGGCAUGCUUCAUAUUCUUUGAAUCACUCUAGAGGCCAGGUUACAGCUUGGAUUGGUUGGGGACUCUUUAUGGGGGUAUAAACCGGCUACAAUUUGACAAACUAUAUUCAUAGUUGCGGGUUUCAAGAUGAUAUUCUGGUUUAAUGGAUCAAAUGCUAUUUGCUGUUCCUACUAAUGGUUAAUCAUGGAGCAGGUUGAGCCUAGAAGCUCUCCUACCUAGUGGAUGGCUUUCAGGUAUAUUCUGGGUAUGCAAACUCAAGGCAUCGACAGCAGAUGGAGCGAAACGCGUUGAAGAUGGUAUUGUUUAUCUGGACGCAACCAUUCAUCUGCCUUUAUUUCUGAUUUUCUGCUAUUAUUUUCCAUGUAUUCGUGGUUUGACGAAUACUUUUGAUGGCUUGGCUUGUUUGCGAAGUAACCCUUAAUAAUUAUUUCAUAUUCAAUUACGUUUCCAAGUUCAGGAGUGAUUAAUUUCAAUUGCGGCUGUCUAUUACAGAAGUUUCAAGGAUUUGCCAGCGUUAGGCAAGUGAUCUCUGCUCUUGUAUUUUUAUGCCCGAAGUACCCACUUUGAUUCCCCAAAGAUACAGAAUAGGAACAACAUUUUGCUAUGGCCGGCUUUCCUAAAUCUCUUCAUGGAUUUUAGAAUUAGCGGCAUCUUGUUCUUCAUUCUCUGCCUCUCUCAAAAGUAGCAGUGUGCUGGACUUGAUGAAAGCUGGAAGCCCAUCUAUGAGGAGAUUAUUUGACAUGGAGCACACUAGUUUGGCAACCCAUUUUCAGGAUUCCAGUGGCUCGCCGAUAAUAAAUCCUAUCCCUCUAGGGAGCAGUGAUACUGAUCCAUGGGCAUCCAUCAGACAGACUGGGACUUCUGGGUCCGAUGAACCUGGUAACUUUACUUCUGGUAGCGGCAGGAAUGGCCACUUUGAAUCCAAGGAUAGAAAGGCAAAGAAAAGCAAUCACAAGUUAACCAGGAAAAAAUCGUUUCGGAGUUUGCCAGGACUUCGUUUAUGGAGAUUUAGGAGGCCUAGUUUCAGGUUGGGACUGAAAAGGCUUAGGAUUAGGAUUUGUGGUAAGAUUUCCUGAAAUUAGAAUGUAACCUUAGUUCGUUUCCUGUUCAAGAAAAGAAAAGAUCAUAACCUUUUUAUACAAAAUCAAAAUGUUGAAGGAAACAA